AAGCAAUGAGAAGUAGGAUCUAAGUUAAAGUGUUUACUCAUAGUGGAAAUAUGAAUUAAUCAGUACCAGAACCGCAUGUUUCAAUAUUCUCAGGUUUGAACAAGGAUUAAAGUUCUGUGUCGCUACGAUGAAUUUCUGUCAAUUGGGCUGCCAAAAGGCAGAUUUUGCACUGAUGUCAUCUUGAAGAAAAAUCAAAGCUGGACCCAAGAUAAAAAAUUUACCGCGUUCAAAAAUCGAUUUUUAGAAUAACGUCUCUUGUUUUUGUGUCAUGUCUGUGAU